rnacentral:rRNA from 1 species
GAUGAACGCUGGCGGCGUGCCUAAUACAUGCAAGUCGAGCGAACAGACGAGGAGCUUGCUCCUCUGACGUUAGCGGCGGACGGGUGAGUAACACGUGGAUAACCUACCUAUAAGACUGGGAUAACUUCGGGAAACCGGAGCUAAUACCGGAUAAUAUAUUGAACCGCAUGGUUCAAUAGUGAAAGACGGUUUUGCUGUUACUUAUAGAUGGAUCCGCGCCGCAUUAGCUAGUUGGUCAGGUAACGGCUUACCAAGGCGACGAUGCGUAGCCGACCUGAGAGGGUGAUCGGCCACACUGGAACUGAGACACGGUCCAGACUCCUACGGGAGGCAGCAGUAGGGAAUCUUCCGCAAUGGGCGAAAGCCUGACGGAGCAACGCCGCGUGAGUGAUGAAGGUCUUCGGAUCGUAAAACUCUGUUAUUAGGGAAGAACAAAUGUGUAAGUAACUAUGCACGUCUUGACGGUACCUAAUCAGAAAGCCACGGCUAACUACGUG